GACGAACGCUGGCGGCGUGCUUAACACAUGCAAGUCGAGCGGUAAGGCCCUUUCGGGGGUACGACGAGCGGCGAACGGGUGAGUAACACGUGGGUGACCUGCCUUUAGCUCUGGGAUAAGCCUGGGAAACUGGGUCUAAUACCGGAUAUGACCCUAUGGCGCAUGUUGUGGGGUGGAAAAGCCUUGUGCGGCUAGGGAUGGGCCCGCGGCCUAUCAGCUUGUUGGUGGGGUGAUGGCCUACCAAGGCGACGACGGGUAGCCGGCCUGAGAGGGCGACCGGCCACACUGGGACUGAGACACGGCCCAGACUCCUACGGGAGGCAGCAGUGGGGAAUCUUGCGCAAUGGGCGAAAGCCUGACGCAGCGACGCCGCGUGAGGGAUGACGGCCUCGGUUGUAACGU
rnacentral:rRNA from 1 species